GACGAACGCUGGCGGCGUGCUUAACACAUGCAAGUCGAACGGAAAGGCCCUGCUUUUGUGGGUGCCUGGGGGGCGAACCGGUGAGUAAAACCGGAGUUAACCGCCCUUGGCUUUGGGGUUACCUUAAGGAACUGGGGCCAAAAACGGAUAAGAGCCUCUGGCGCAAGGGGGGGGUUGGGAAAGUUUCGGCGGUUGGGGAUGGACUCGCGGCUUAUCAGCUUGUUGGUGGGGUAGUGGCUUACCAAGGCUUUGACGGGUAGCCGGCCUGAGAGGGUGACCGGCCACAUUGGGACUGAGAUACGGCCCAGACUCCUACGGGAGGCAGCAGUGGGGAAUAUUGCACAAUGGGCGGAAGCCUGAUGCAGCAACGCCGCGUGCGGGAUGACGGCCUUCGGGUUGUAAACCGCUUUCGCCUGUGACGAAGCGUGAGUGACGGUAAUGGGUAAAGAAGCACCGGCUAACUACGUG
rnacentral:rRNA from 1 species